UUAAAACCUGAAGCCAUUUCGAGCUCUCCCCGCGUUUUGCGGUCGUUGUUUUGCAGAAAGGCCCUUCGUCUUUUCGCGAUUCAACCCGCCGUCCUCGCCCGAACCCCAAUCAGGUUCGGUUGGCGCCCCGUCGCCGUCCCCCGAGCACAAACCCUAGCUUCUUGCCGCCGCCUCCGCCUGCUUCGAAGCCCUUGACUUGCUUCACCGCCGCGACGAGCCUCUCAACAACCUCCGCCACAACGACGGUCACGAGCCCCUCCACCGCCUCCGACUCGUCGCCUCGGCCCACCGCUUUCUUACUAGGGCGGCACCGCUGUUCGCGCAGAGGAACAGAGAUGCUGCAUCCACAUGGACUUCGCCGCCGCUAUCCUCCUCGAAUCUACCUCCGCCUCUUCCGCCAACGUCGCUGGCAAGGAGAUGUCUGGCCGCCGCCUCGCCCACCGCGCUACCCCAACAUGACCUCCUCCUUGCUCUGCAGGAAGUCAUACCUCGCGCUCCUCCACAUGGUCCCCUGUGUCCCGCUCAGCCGCCUCCUCGACAACAUCCAGGAGGUUUUGGUCGCCACCAGGCUCACCCUCCUCUUCCCCGUCGUCCUACUCGCGUUUGCCGCGUGAAUCUUCCACUUCAGCUAGGCAAGUCCUCUCCAUCUCCCUCUUCCUCCUCCUCCUACUGUCAUUGUAACUUUUCCCCUUUAGUAUGUGAAAUGGUGGUAUGUUCUGCGUUUGCAACAUGCAAGUUUCACAGAUGUUCAAAUAAUGCAACCAGAUAUUCAUAUAAUGCACAGAGCCGACAGUGGGGUGUGCGAGGGAUUGCUCGUGGUUUUGCUCCUGCAUCUCUAGCGUAGUCCGCAUCUCGUGCUUCUACCUUCCUGUUUCUAUUGAUGCAUCUGUCUCGAAAGAUACACUCAAAUCUCCAGCCAUCCUCUUCAUAAGACAAACAAACCAGGCAUUUUGUCCAUGGAUGUUCAUCCUUCAAAGGAUGUUGCAACUGGGGGUAUCGAUACAAAUGCAGUAAUCUUUGAUCGGUCAUCUGGUCAAAUCUUGUGCACGCUUACUGGUCACUCAAAGAAGAUAACCACUUUGAAGUUUGUUCCACGGGAUCAACUCUUUGUAACUGGAUCAGCAGAUAAGGCAAUUUCCAUUUACCAUAGGUUUAAGUAACCACUGGAAUAAUAUGGGGAUGCGAGGGAUUGCUCGUGGUUUUGCUCGUGCAUCUCUAGCGUAGUCCGCAUCUCGUGCUACUACCUACCUGUUUCUGUUGAUGCAUCUCUAUGUGAUUGUAACAACCAAGAAGCAUAUGUGGCCUCUAUUUAAUCCACCAUAAAAGAAGUAUUUGGCGCGUUGGCCCUAUUUCUUUUCCGGUGAUCAAGUACACUUGCAAUAUCAGAAAUGGUGCUUUCAACUGUUCCCUUUUAAAAUUUAUGUCCUAUUUUUUGUGUUACAAAAUCAUGUUCCUGUUUUCAUUUUACUCAAUCGGAUUGCAACUAAUACAUUUUUUUGUUCAAACUCAUUAUGUUUUCAUGUUUGCAUUUUCCUAUAUUUUUUGCCUUUGUAGAACAGAUACUAUGGAAUUGAGAUGUUUGGUUCUACAUAUAUAGUGUAGGCAUUGAAUAAAAUCAGGUCUGCAUACUUAUUUUUGUGCAAUCAAAGUAGCUGUUAGUGGGUUCCUAGAAUGACAAUGUUGGUUUGGUUGAGAAGGAUCUUGGAAAUCAGAAAGUCUUGCUCUCAGGCAUCAAUCUCGAUGAGGAUGCAAAACCAAGAGGGGACAACUGUGAACAGUGGUCAUUGUUCGUCGGCACUGCUCAAGCAUCAUUGACGUUGGCGCUGGCCUCCUCUGUACAAGGCCAGGGACACCGUUGUAAUAGAGUUGUUGAUAUCGAUGUCGUCCGUGAACUGACUGUCGAGAAGGCCUCCGUGGAUACCUAAGGCAUGCAGCUCCUCAUUACUUUGGUGUACUGACCCCAAGGCCGGUGCUGUUGACCCCAAGGCCGAGAACAAGGUGCUAGAUUGAAGAUGGCGCAGAACAUUGCCAUCUUGCUGCUCGUGCUGAAUGUGAUCAAGAAGAGGUCUGCAACGUGCUCUGUGAUGGUGAAAAAAUCCUCGCUGCACUACUUGCUAGAUUUCAGUCAUUUUGAUUUGCUGCUUACAUGCUGCAUUUUCACGCCCGCAUAGGAUUAGUUUUGCUUGUCAGUUGUGUCUGACCAUCUUCAGCUUAUGACUGGACUACAGGCUACAACCAUGCUUGUUCGUAUAUUUAGUAUAUUUAGCUAUGUUUCUUUUUGGCGAUUUAGUACCCACUAUACCUAUGCCUGUGGAAGUCUAGAUCACCAUCUCUUCAGGAGUAAGCAUCUGGCAUCUGCUACUUUAUUUUAGACAUAUGUUGCCAGCUUCAGAUAUGUUCUUGACAACACUACCAUCUAGAGAAAUGUGAAAAUAUGUUGUUACAUGGGACUAUACAUACCUACUGUAUAUUUAGACCUGACACGAAUCUAAGUAUAUAGGAAAACUGCCAACUAUUUAUUAAAAAUAUAGACUUAUUACAUGGAAGGAUCGGGUGACAAAGGUAUGUGCUUUUCUUUUGGUUGCUAUUGUUCAGUUCUCCAAUCACUUAUCAUCUGUGCUUCUCAUGCAGGCUAUAGAGAAGAUAAAAUCUGCCAGGAAUAAAUCAUCGCAAGGAAGGUGAGUAUCUCUUGGCAUCUUGUACAAACUACAAAGUGCAGUUGCCACCACAUCAGCACCACUGCAACGGAAAGUACCUCCAGAAAAUGUGACCCCAACUUUCAUGAUUAUAUGUUAUUCUUAGCCUUCUCUGUAGUCAUCAAUUCUAGAUAGGGCAUCUCAGUCUAUGCAGGCCAGGUAGCAAUUAGGUCAAUAGAAGCUGUAUCUUACAAGCAUGUCCUCGAGACACAUGGCAGCACUUUUUCAUUUAAAGUCAUAUGUUACUCAUCUAAAUGCACUAUAGGGUUGUUCUUCUGCAUGCCAGUUGUGUUUGAAGAGAUUGUGUAAACAAAACUUAAUUAUUAUGGUUGUUAGUUCUUAGUUCAUGUCUGUACAACUUCCUCCUGUUCUUUAAAGCAUAUAUGUUGCAAAUUUUAAGGCGGUUAUGUUGCUGUUUUGCACUUUGCCCGGUAAUGUGCUUGAUCCAAUGGUCGAGCUCAGUGCUUGUGCAAAGCACACAUGCUGUCCACGGGAAUAGUCACCACAAACGGUUGCAAGUGGAAACCAAAACCUUGUUCGUGGACGGCGGUAAUGUUUCACGUGAUCUUGUUUAUUUGUCUCUGGUCAAGCGC